rnacentral:rRNA from 1 species
UACGGAGGGAGCUAGCGUUAUUCGGAAUUACUGGGCGUAAAGCGCACGUAGGCGGCUUUAUAAGUAAGAGGUGAAAGCCCAGAGCUCAACUCUGGAAUUGCCUUUUAGACUGCAUCGCUUGAAUCAUGGAGAGGUCAGUGGAAUUCCGAGUGUAGAGGUGAAAUUCGUAGAUAUUCGGAAGAACACCAGUGGCGAAGGCGGCUGACUGGACAUGUAUUGACGCUGAGGUGCGAAAGCGUGGGGAGCAAACAGG